AUCCAGCUGACGAAUCCAGAAUAGGACGAAACGCGCAUCCUUGAU
rfam:Schistosoma mansoni strain Puerto Rico chromosome 5, complete genome